GUGUCUGAGUCUGUAUAUGUGCAUGUGUGUUUAUUUGUUGCAUGUGUAUGUGUAUAUGUAUAUAAAUUGUAUAUAAGUGUGCGUAUGAAUGUGUAUGUACAUGUAUAUGUAUAUGUGUGUAGAAGUAUAUAUGUGUAUAGAAGUGUGUGUAUUUAUGUGCAUGUACAUGUAUAUAUGUAUAUGCACGUGCAUUUGUGUGUGCAUGCAUGUAUGUGUAUAUGCAUUGCAUGUGUAUGUGUAUAUGCAUAUAUAUAUGUGUGUGUGUAUGUGUGUGUGCGUGUGUGUGUGUGCACAUGCAUGUAUAUAUAUAUGUGUGGGGCAAGUGGAACCGUG
rnacentral:lncRNA from 1 species